rnacentral:rRNA from 1 species
CAGCAGCCGCGGGAAAACGUAGGUGGCAAGCGUUGUCCGGAAUUAUUGGGCGUAAAGGGUGCGUAGGCGGAUUCUUAAGUCAGGGGUGAAAUCCCGAGGCUCAACCUCGGAACUGCCUUUGAUACUGGGGAUCUUGAGUCCGGAAGAGGUGAGUGGAACUGCGAGUGUAGAGGUGAAAUUCGUAGAUAUUCGCAAGAACACCGGUGGCGAAGGCGGCUCACUGGUCCGGAACUGACGCUGAGGCACGACAGCGUGGGGAGCAAACAGGAUUAGAUACCCCAGUAGUCCCUGUCUCUUAUAC